ensembl:lncRNA
AUAUCACAAAAGUUCCCAUAUUGCUUCAGAAGAGGGAACCCUCCUGGGUAAUCAGAUGUCUGUGCAGCGCAGAGGGAACAGGGUUCUGUAUCCACGGCGGAGCGCAGCAGCCGGGGAACUUCCUCCAUGUUUUAUGGAAAUCUCGUCAUCUCGGAGCGCACGGAGGGAAGCCGGUGAUGUCACUUUAUUUCUGUGCCACGGGGUCCCAGGAGGACGCCAUGGCCCGCUUCCAAGUCCAGGGUAAUUUUCAAAACAUGAAUUGAGGUAUAGGAUCCAGACGACUCCAGUCGCUAAACGUCACGAUGCGCUGAACCGAGAGAGACGACGGGACAGAUGGAGAGCCUGGUGCCACACGGACACAGAGACGAGGCUCCUUCCACCUGUCCAGGUCUGCAGCUGGGGGGCCCUACAUCCGCCCCUACCUCCAAGUCUGCAGCUGGGGGGCUCCGCGACAAACAAGCGAUCAUCGUCAUUUCACAGCAGUUACAGGGAAAUAUGCAUUUGUACAGUGCGCUCAAAUGGUCAACAAAGCCCGUCUGAAGCUCAGCCACAUAACGUGACUGCUGCACGUUCAAGAAAGAGUCUCUGUAAAGGUUUGGACCCCCCCCCCCCUUCAGCUGAAAUAAAGCACUCCGUCCCAGAGGAAGUGCCAAAGCAGAGGUUUAAUUGCUCCAUUUCUAUUGAGAGUUUCAGCUUAGCAGACAAUUAGAAUUAAUUGGAUUUAGGCGGACUAUUUUAGAAGAAAAAAAAGAGCAUUCUUUUAAUUUCCUCAUUUAAAUUUGGGAGGGGAAGGGGUGCCAUUGGAAAAGUUGAAGUCUGCGGAUGAUGGGAAAAGGGGGGUGUCCUGUUGGUUUUCACAUCCUCCCAAUAAUAAUAAUAACAGAUAAUGGAAACCGCAGAACAGAGUGGAACCAUGAAGAAACAGAAUUUUAUAGAUUUGUCUGCUUGAACUCACUUCAUACACUUAAUAUAAAACACAACGACCUGUGAGAUAAAACGGUUUAUUUUCAACCUCUAAAUAAUAUAAGUAUUCAUGUGUUUACCACCAGAUUUAUUUGCUUUUUCACAUUAUUCUUUUUUUGUCUUUUGUCGUAUUUUUUCAUUUUUAAUUCCAAGAGAACUUUUUUAUCAGAUUUAAAUUCUGAACGCCUUCGUUCUUCAUGAAUUGUUUCCAGUCUGGUUCCAAAAAUCAAUACCCUCAUUUUAAACUUAAAUUAGACUCGUUUUGUUUAGCAGUUUUCACAUUUCUGUCAUCGUCUCCCACUUCAUGUUUAGCAUAACUAACCAAGACGUCAGAGAAUUUCCUUCUUUCUUUAAGUCUAAGUGUGAGUCCAUCAGGUUGUCAUGGUGACGUCUCUUUUACGUCCUGUCGAGCAAAGAGAGGCACUUCACAUCCGACAGCAUCCGUCUCCCUAAAUCUGUAAGAGCAGAUUAUGUUCUUUUGUUGCUGCGAUGUCGCACACAUUAACUGGGAUUGAUGAUUAAUUUUGAAAAUGAAAAAAAAGUAUGUAGUGAUUUAUUGGACUCCUUUUUAGUUCAAUAAAGUUCAUAGUCUCUGUAUUAUUACUAACCUCUUAGGUUUUUUUCUAUUAUCAGACACGGUUGUGUUUUUUCACAUACCUGACAUGGAUGUCUUUCGUCUUCAUUGCUGUCUUGGACUUAUUUUUUAUUAUAUUAUCAUUAAUAGUAAUAAAUUACAUAAAAUCAACAAACUAAGUUUUAAGUUGUGUCUUAUAGUAGAAAGGAAAUGACUUUUUCCAGAUUUUUUUAAUCUUAAAUUGCAAAAUAUUUCCUUCCUAAAUUCAGAGAAACUGUAAGUGAUCAAAUAUGUGCUAAUUAUAUAAAUAUACAUUUUAUAACACUGCUGGACUAAUUUUGUGUCUUAGAAACUCAAGAAACUCCCUAAUUUCAGUUUCCUGAAAGUAAAAUGUUUGGUUGAUUGUUUCUUUAAAAUACUUGCUAAUCUUGAAUUCUGUACUUGAUUCUGUUGUUUUCUUAUUAAUGAUGAAGCAGAAUAUUUUCUUAAAGCAAAACGUUUUUCUUGUGAGACAGGACUCAUGUCAGAGAGAAAAGGUUUCCUGCUGCGCUCAGCUUCCAACAGGAGCAUCUGAGGAGAAACAAGGAGGAGCUGCAGCCCUGUUCUCCUCCAACCUCCUUCCCAUGAU